rnacentral:rRNA from 1 species
AGAGUUUGAUCCUGGCUCAGGAUGAACGCGGCGGCGUGCUUUAUGCAUGUAAGUCGAGCGGUUUCCCCGCAAGGGGAGACAGCGGCAAACGGGUGAGUAACGCGUAUGCAACUGCCCUUUACAGGGGGAUAGCCCGUCGAAAGGCGGAUUAAUACCCCAUAAUAUUGUACCAUCGCAUGAUGGAACGAUAAAAGCUGCGGCGGUAAAGGAUGGGCAUGCGUGACAUAGCUAGUUGGUAGGGUAACGGCCUACCAAGGCUACGAUGUCUAGGGGUUCUGAGAGGAAGGUCCCCCACACUGGUACUGAGACACGGACCAGACUCCUACGGGAGGCAGCAGUGAGGAAUAUUGGUCAAUGGGCGCGAGCCUGAACCAGCCAUCCCGCGUGCAGGAAGACGGCCCUAUGGGUUGUAAACUGCUUUUGUGCAGGAAGAAUGUGCCCAUCGUGAUGGGUAUUGACGGUACUGCAUGAAUAAGCACCGGCUAACUCCGUGCCAGCAGCCGCGGUAAUACGGAGGGUGCAAGCGUUAUCCGGAUUUAUUGGGUUUAAAGGGUGCGUAGGCGGUGAAAUAAGUCAGUGGUGAAAAGCUGCAGCUCAACUGUAGUCCUGCCAUUGAAACUGUUUUACUUGAGUAACCAUGAGGUAGGCGGAAUGUGUAGUGUAGCGGUGAAAUGCUUAGAUAUUACACAGAACACCGAUUGCGUAGGCAGCUUACUAGCGGUUUACUGACGCUGAUGCACGAAAGCGUGGGGAUCAAACAGGAUUAGAUACCCUGGUAGUC